GGGCGCAGCGCGCAGGGCGGAGGCAGCAGCGGCGCUGGGCCGGGAGGAGGCCGGCCAGGGUGCGGAGCGGCCCCAGCCCGGCCCCCAGUGGGGAGAUGGCGUCCUACGUAGAUAACAGCUUCCGCCAGGCGGUGAUGAAGAACCCCCCUGAAAGGACCCCCCAGGAUCUGGAAAUAGUAUAUUCCUAUUUACAUGGUAUGGAAGCCUUGUCAAACUUGAGGGAGCAUCAACUUAGGUUAAUGUGUGAAACUGUGAGAUAUGAGAAAAAAAAA